CAUCUACUCCCUCCGUUUCAAAUUACUUGUCUUGGAUUUGUCUAGAUAUGAAUAUAUCUACACUCAUUUUAAUGCUAGAUACCUUCGUAUCUAGAAAAAUCUAAGACAAGUAAUUUGGAACGGAGGGAGUAGAUG
rfam:Triticum aestivum genome assembly, contig: Triticum_aestivum_CS42_TGACv1_scaffold_376675_5AL